rnacentral:rRNA from 1 species
UGGGGAAUAUUGGACAAUGGGGGCAACCCUGAUCCAGCCAUGCCGCGUGAGUGAAGAAGGCCUUCGGGUUGUAAAGCUCUUUUGGCGGGGACGAUGAUGACGGUACCCGCAGAAUAAGCCCCGGCUAACUUCGUGCCAGCAGCCGCGGUAAGACGAAGGGGGCUAGCGUUGUUCGGAAUUACUGGGCGUAAAGGGCGCGUAGGCGGUUUGUUAAGUCAGGCGUGAAAGCCCUGGGCUCAACCUGGGAUGUGCGUUUGAUACUGGCAAGCUUGAGUGCAGGAGAGGAUGGUGGAAUUCCCAGUGUAGAGGUGAAAUUCGUAGAUAUUGGGAAGAACACCGGUGGCGAAGGCGGCCAUCUGGACUGCAACUGACGCUGAGGCGCGAAAGCGUGGGGAGCAAACAGGAUUAGAUACCCUGGUAGUCCACGCUGUAAACGAUGAGUGCUGGACGUUGGCGGGUUUACCUGCCGGUGUCGCAGCUAACGCGUUAAGCACUCCGCCUGGGGAGUACGGCCGCAAGGUUAA